UUCUUUUCUUUUUCUUUUUUUCUUGCCCCUUUUUUGGGGGCUGGGGGUGGGGGGUGGGGAGGGAUGUACAACUACAACAAACAACUGAAGUUAAUUGCCUAAUCACUUUGCCUUCCAGAUGAUCAAUAUAACUUACCAUUAAGCCAACAAAGUGAUUUUAAGCAACACUGAUAAUGUUAUCCCCACUGCUGAUAUUUGAAAUUCCUUGGAAAGCAGGGUGUUUCAUUGGCGAAUUAGUCGAAUCUGAAG
rnacentral:misc_RNA from 1 species